UACGGAGGGUGCAAACGUUGUUCGGAAUUACUGGGCGUAAAGCGCACGUAGUCGGCUUUGCAAGUCGGGUGUGAAAUCCCCGGGCUCAACCUGGGAACUGCAUCCGAGACUGCAUUGCUAGAGUAUGGGAGAGGGAAGCGGAAUUUCUGGUGUAGCAGUGAAAUGCGUAGAUAUCUGGAGGAACACCGGUGGCGAAGGCGGCAUCCUGGACCGGCAUUGACGCUGAGGCGCGAAAGCCAGGGGAGCAAACGGG
rnacentral:rRNA from 1 species